CCCCACUACUUCCCUGAGAGGCUGAUCCAGAACUUCGCUCCUCUGAUGGUUAAAAACCUCCAUCUAAUUUCAAACCUAAACUUCCUAGUCUCCAGUUUA